UUUUAGCCCUGAUGGAAGUGGAAAUCCCACGCUUUUUUGCGUGGAUUGGAACAAACAGCAGGAAUAUGG
rnacentral:sRNA from 1 species